AAUUAGGUAACGAAGGUCUUUCCAAAUGUAACACUACAUUAUUAUGUAUUUAAAAUUGUUCUCCAACAAUUAAAGUUGACAUUUAUUAGAGAAAAGUAAUACAAUUAAGAAAAGAGAAACUAUUUGUAAACAAUUAAACAAUCAAAUAAAUAAAUCAAAGAAUCGAUGUUAACAUUUUCUAAUUUGAUUUUCUAAUGAGAAUCAGCGACACCUAUUGACUAAUUUAUUUAAAAUUCUUUUUUUUAAUUUCUUUUAUUUUUUUUAUUCGUUUGUUACUUUUGAUUUAGUUGUUGCUCGUUAAUUAUGUUUAUCUGUUGAUUGUUUGCUAAUUAUUUUAAUUUCUUUGAUUAGUUUAACAUUCAGUUGAUUUGGAGAAAAAGAACAAUUGAAAUUAAUGAUCAGCUAACUGUUUGAUUUUCUAUUCUUUUCCAUGUCAACCUUUUGGUUACUAAAAUUUUUCUAUAAAUUCAACGGUGGAUAAUCUAUUCUUCCAUUUGGUUCCCUUUCGUUUCUAUGUGUAUGUGUAAUCGUUUUUAGCUGUUCUAUAUGUUUGGUGAUUCCUUUUGAUUCUGGUUGAUGAGCUUUUUUUUAAAUAUAUUUGAAAGCAAAUACAAAUGAUUCAUUCAUUUACUUUCAGUUUUUUCUUUCUGUCUCCAUCUCCAUUUUAUGGGUUUACUGAUACAAGUGAAAGAGGAACCAUAUUGAGUGAGAAAUUAAUUGUGAAUUUUGUUUGGAUUCAAGAAUUCUUCAAUCCAGUUCAUUCAUUCAUUCAAAGCUGGAAAGAUGAAAGCCCAUUGGAAUGUAUAUAAAAGGCUAAGAUGACGAUGAUGAUAGUUAUUGAUUCCGUUUUAAUGAUUGAAGAUGAAAGUGAAGAUUAUCAUUCUGAAGAUAUCAAGAAAGUUUCAAUAACAAUGAUAACUUAUUAUCCACAUACAACAACAAAAGGAUGGAAGAGAGAGAGAGAGAGAGAGAGGAACAAAAUGGUUUCAAAUCGUAAUGAUGGUAAAAGAAAAUGAUCAAGGAAAACAAUGGAUACAAUCGUUUUUUUCCCGCUUCUUUUUUUACUGAUACAUUUACAUCCAGUUACUCGCAAUCAAACGAUUGUCAUGAUGAGAUAGUAAUGAUUAUCUUAAUCAUCAUCAUCAUGAAAAUGAUAAUAAAGGUGGGAAAAUGAUAAAUGUAAUGGUAACUUUUAUAUUCGUGAUAAAAGUUUUUUUUUUCUUAAGAAAAAGUUAGUUUUUUUUCACCAAGAAGUGAUAACCUUUGUUAUUAGAAAACAUUAAUCAACAUGAUUAAGUUAGUUACGAUAAAUUGUUAGGGUUGAAUUGCAUUUAUCAUUUAUCUCAUUGAAAUUUUUUUUUACAGAUCGAUAAUAAUAAUUGUGAUUAAGUUUCACUCUCUCUCUCUCUCGCUCCACCAUCAUCAACCGCCUGUCAUUCAAUUAACCAUAAAUUACAAUUUAAUUAACUAAGGGAUUCUCCCUAUUAAUUAACUUACAGUAGUGAUUAAAACUUUCUAAUCCCAUACUAACUAAUAUCCUAAACAAUUAUCAUAUUACAAUUAACCACACCCAAUGAAAUAAUUGUCUCGAUUAUUAUCAAUAAUUAACAGUAUCUAUUGAUUGAGAAAGUAAAUCAAUUAGAUGAUUGUUUAUUAUUAUGAUAUAUCGUUUUAAUUGUUGACGUCAAAUCACAAUGUAAGCAAAUUUAUAUCAAUUAACUUUCGAUCAUCAAUCAAGGUAAUUAUUAUAUUAAUUUUUUUUCUUCCGAAUUUUCAACAAUUUAAACCAAAACCAACCUACUUGAUAUUGAUCAUUAUACAAUCAAUUGUGUAACCAAUUGAAAAUUAAUUAUCAACAGUUUUCACUAAUCGUCUAAUUAUGAUUUACCUUGAUAGAUAGAGAGAGAGAGAGAGAAAUUAACUAAACAAAGUCAACCAUUAAAUAUGAUGAUUAACAAUUAGCUAAUUUCUGUUAAUGAAACUACUGAACUUCAAUUUGUUCAAGAUGAAAGUUUCAUGAUUAAAACUUUAUUUCAUUGAUAAAAUGACACAAAGAACAAUCAACAAUUAGAUGAUUGUUUAUUCUGAAUGAGAAAUGUAUUCCAACUAUGAAGAUGAUUAACUAUCUUAAUUAUCAUUGACAGAUUAAUGACACAAGUUAAAUUGUAAAUCAUUUCCUGGCUUUUAAAUUAGCAGUUUAAAUUGUUACGAUUUCAAGGUUACCAAUGUGUUCAGACAAACAUGGAAAACUAUUUACAGACUAAAUUAAAGAUAAUCUUUAAUUACAAGACCAGAACAAAAUUGCUUAAUCAUCUUAAUCCUUAAUCUUGAUCCUAAUCUUUUCCAAACCAAAACAAUUACAACCCAAUUACAUUAUUAUUAUUAUUAUAACAAUUGUAUUGGAAACAAUAAGAAAAGAUAUAAGAUUUUAGCAGAAAUAAAUGAUUAAAUGAGUAACAUUUGAACCUUUAAACAAAAAGAUUGCGGAUUAGGAUUAGGAUUAAGAUUAUUGUAAACAAAAAAAAAUGCAAUUGAAAUAAACAACAAACCAAUUACUGGACUAAAUCCAAAUAAAUUGUUUAUAAAUAGCUUGGUAACAUUAUGAUUAUCAUUAUUAUCAUCGAGUUGAUUAUUGCCUUAACUGCGAUUCAACAAUUUCAUCUGAGGAGUCGCCCAAGAAGAUGAUGAUGAUGAUAAAAAAGUGAGAGACUCAGAUCGCAUCUUGAGAGAGAAACUUAUCAUCUUCAUCUUCAUCUUCAUCUUUAACUGUAACUUUAUCAUGAGAACCAUGAGUCUACCCUGCAUUUCAAAUACUACACCCAAAAGCAUUGGGAUGAUGAUGAUGAUGAUCAAUAUCAACGCUCGUACUCAUUAUUAUCUUCAUCAUCAUCUUGAGAGCAUGAUGAUGAUGAUAAGGAAGAUGAGAAAUAACAAGAAUUCCAAGCUCAUCAUCCAUCAGAUGAAUAUUUUUUUUCUCUUCAUCUUUUUUUUUCUAGGAAGUGAACAUUUGAUUCAACUUUUUCUCUCUUUAUUAUUUACAAUUUGAUCAUUAAUUGUGAUGAUUAAAUUGUUACUAAUUUUUAAUGCUGAAUCACUUAUUUGAUAUAAAUUCAGCUACUGGAUUUGAUUACAUUCACUUGAUUGUUGUUAUUUACUAUCAACACGAUUGACAUACAAAAAAUAUUGAUCAAUUUUCCUGGAAUAUGAAAACUUUGAUUGUCAAUCAAAGUGAAACUCAAUCAAUUUAUAUUACGAUGAACAAUUAGAUUUAUAAACAGAAAUUCUGGUUAACUAUUAAAUUAAAUUGUUGAAUAAAAGUAAAAUUAAUUUUGUUACUCACUCAAUUGUUGACAAUAUUGUUGAGAAGAAAAUUAAAAUCCUAUUAGAUUAAUUGUAUUAGAAAUGGUGUUGAAAUGAUUGUUAAAUGUUUAAUUUGUCCGAAGAAACAAAAACAAUCAAUUUAAACAAGUUGAUUACAAUUAACUCACAAUUGUACAAAAAUAAUCCAAGUUAAUUGUAACUAUUUGGUAACUAUGAUGAUCAACAGACAAACUCAAUGUAAAAGCAACAACAGACAAAAACAUCAAGUAGUUUUUUCAUCAUCAUCUUUAUUUAUCAUCUUCUCUGUCUUCAUUUAUCAUCUGUCUCUUUCUCACUCAUCCAUCUCACUCACAUCUUCCUCUUUCUACCUCUUUCUAUCAUCAUCAUCAUCAUCAUCAUCAUCAUCAUCAUCAAUAUGUCUCUUCCCUAUCAUCCUUAUCAUCAACUCAUGUCAAUUUUCAUGAAUGAAAAUAACAUUAAAUAUGAAAGAAAGUUUUUCCAAUCCUAUUGGUGUUAAUUAUUAAUUAUGAAAGAAAAUUAAAUUAAAUUAUCUGAGAAAUUAAUUCAGUUAAGUUGAGUUAAUGACGAUUAAUUGUAACUCGAUGAUUUUAACAAUUAACCUUCAUCGUGAAAGGUUAAUCACAAUAUGAUUUGACAGUUACAAUUAUAAUAUUAUCAAUCAAAUUGAUAAUUAACCAAUUUGAUUGUUGAUUAUUUGAUAAAAUCACUUUAUUGAUUUGAUUGAAAACUAUUAACACUUGAUUGAAAUGAAAUGAUUAGCUAAUUAAAUGGUUCAUUGGUCCAAAAAGUUGAAAUUAUUAUUAGUAAAUUGCUGAGGGUUUUUAACAAUCAGAAAAACAAUCAAAUCUAAAGGGAAACAAUUAACAUUAACUAUUGUAAUUUAUUCUUGAUCGUUUUAAUUGUUUACACAUUGAUUAAGACAUCGUGAUUAUGAUUAAGAUAAAUGCUUGACACUCCUAGAUUAUUACUAAAUUGUUGUAACAAUCAUACUAACAAUUAAGUCACAACAAUUUUCACACUUACAAUCAAUUAUAAGACAUUAAAUUAAUUGUCUACUAAUUUAGUAAACAAUUUAAUACUGAAAAUUGUUUGAUUAUGAUUGAAUAUAUGAAAAUUAUUAUUAAAUUGUUACUAAAUUUUGUUGUUGUUGUUGUAAUGAUUAUCAUUAGUUUAUUACUUUAAUUAUGAUUGAAUGAUAACAAUUUACUUAAUCAUUUUUGAUUCAUCAUAAAGUGAAUUUUAAUUUUAAUGAUUGUUAAUCAUGAAUUUGUGUUGGUUAAUCAAGACAAUUUAUUUUUAUGCAUCGUGACUUUGAAUAACUUGAUUAUCGAGAUGAUUAACUCGGAGGUGUUAUGCCCCAGUGGGUGGUUCAAAUUAAUCCACAAUUAAAUUAUCACUCUAACAAUUAACUGAUUGUUAACAUAAUCCAAGUUUUAUGAUUAAGUUAAUUCAAUGAUUUAUUAUUAUCAUUCUGGUUACUAAUCAAUUCCAGCUUGAUGGUUCCUUUAUAUCAACAAUUAAACGACACAAAUUUUCACGCUUAUUAUAUACAACUAAUUGUUCACCUUUUAAAUCAACAAUCAAUAAUCAUUAAUUAGAAAUUAACUUAUUAAUUGUUAUCUCAUUAGUUGAUUUUUCACUUUUUCCCAAUUCUUAAAUUACUCCAAUUUUAAUCAAACAAAUCAGCAAUUGAAUAUGAAACACUUAUUAUGACCAUUUACUCGUCAACAAAUUGUACAAUUAGUUAAUUGUCUCAACAAUUAAAAGAAAAGUUUUUUUAAUUCUUGUUUCUAGUUCCCUCUGGUGGUAGAAAAGGUAACUAGAGCUUCUAUUCUCUACCGUUAGAUGUCACAGUGAUACAGAAUCUCUUUCAAGGUUUAACAAUUAAUUUUAAUUCAAUUUAUUGAUUGAUGAUUAAUUGUUGGUUUUUCAUUUGAUAAUAAAUUUACCUAAUUUAGAUGAGUCCUUUAUUUAGCCUCAACAUGAAAAAGCAAAUGAUUAACUUAUAAAACAAUUGAGAGUUUGAGUUACCAAGUUGAGGUUAAUUCAGUUUUGUUUUUGUCGUUUCAAUUACUCACAACAAUUAACCUUAAUUGUAAACGAUUAAGACGGAAAUUGUUUAAUUUGAUGACAAAAAGUAUUGUAGCAAAAAGAAAUGUAUUCAUAUAAAUAAGAUUGUAAACUAAAAUAAUAACAAUUUACAACCUUGACGGUGAAAACUGGUGAAAGUAAUUUAAUCAGUUAAUCAAGAUUAUUACUUGAUUAUUGAUUUGAAAUAACGACAAGUUUUCCAGCUAAUUUAAAUAUUUAAGUUAAUUGUUUGAAUGUAAAUCAAAAGAUUAACCUUGACAACGAUUAUAACAAAUAAAUCGGCAAAAAGGUAAAAAACAAACAAUGACAAUCAUUAAGCCAACUGAUUUAUUACUUAUCAUAAAUAAUGUAUAAUAUCAAUCGAGUUGAUUGCAAUAAGGUAACGACAAUUAACUGUAAAUAUUGACCUAAACAAUUAAAUGAAACCAAAAACCAAUGAAUGGACAAAGAAUGAGUAACAUACUGGACAAUGAAAACUGGACAGAUGAUGAUGACAAACAAAAAGUGAUGAAGACCAAUGAAAAGAUGGAGAGAGUUGAAUGAGGAUAAAGAUGAGGAUGAGGAUGAAGAUGAAGAUGAGGAUGAGGAGGAAGUUGAUGAUAGUAUAGUGACUAAUAAACACGAGUGAUAAAUAGUAAUCUUGAUAAACAAAAUUGCGAUCAGAUUAGAUUAUCGAUCAGACUAAAUAAUAUGAUUAAUCUAAUUGGUUUAUGAAUAAAUUGAUCGUAAAGCCAAAAAUUCAAUCAACCAAAUUGAUUUGCAACAAAAUCAAUGACCAACCAACCAAAAUGAAUCAAAAGUAACCCGAAAUUUGAACUGAUUUAAAACUACAAUUGUAAUCAACUGAAUGAAGAAGACAAUUAAUAAUUGAAUGAAGCAAUUAACAGGAAAAAAAUUCUCUCCCAAUAAAAUUAAUACAACAAUCUAAUUGUUUUUGAAAAGUUUCUGUGAAUGUGAAUCUUUUAUGUUGAUAUUCAUGGUUAAUGUUAUAUUUAUAUUCACAGAAAGGAAAACAUGAAUGAAGAUGAUAUUAGUUUUAGUGGAAAGGGAAAUUGAUGAUGAUGAAAAGAAAGAAUAACAAAGAGAAGAUGAGAUGAUGAGAAAAAGAAGAAAAUUCUCUUGUAGAACUUUUUUUCUCUCUCUUUUUCCUGUCACUUCCUUUUUCGGGUUAUGAUUUUCAAUGUUAUCCAUUUAAUGUCUCUGGGAAUUAACCAUAACUGAGGAAUCAUAUAUUUCCCAGCCCUCUGUCUCUCUCCAAUUGUAAUCUAAUAACAUUGUGCUCGGUGUGUCCACUUUGGAAACUUGUCAAGGUGUAACUUUGGGCUGGAUCGGAGGGAGGAAAAGAUGAGGAUGAGGAGGUGAUGAUAAUUGUCAACAAAGUCUCUUUUUCAUCAUUCAAAUAAAUCAUCAUCUUGCCUGUGGACAUUUAUCACCAUUGUAAUCAUCCCCGAAUCGCUUUGUCUUACUUAUUACUUUUGUCUCCAAUGUGAAUUAGUUAAUUGUUGUUGCUUUGUUUUUUUCUCAUCCUUUUGAUUGUUGUUGGUUAACCAGUUUUUUUUAUAUUAUAUACAAAUCAUUGUUUCCAGAAUUAAAUUGCCUAAUCUGAUUUAGAUUUAAUUGUUUUCACUUUAUGGAAACCUUAUCAAGUAAUGUUUGUAUUCAAUUUCAUUUUAAUCGCCAUUGAUUUAUGUUAAUUGUGAUCAACAAUCAAGCUUUCUUGUUGUUGUCAUGUUAUUAAAGGGUUGAUAUUGAAUAUCUUUCAACCAGAAUUUUUGUUUCUUUUUCUGUAUUACCUUGACCAUGACAGAGAUAUCAACAUGAUAUGUUAAUCUGAAUAUGAAGCAUCAUCAUCAUCGUCAUCAUCAUCAUCAGUUUUAUCAUCACGAUGAGAAAUGAAAACGAUAAGGAUGAUAAUGAAGAUGAAACAAAUACAUUUGAAACAAUAAGAUCUGAAAAUUAUGUCAGAAUCCAAUUACGUUUUCGUAGGUAAAUUUUAUUCAUGGUGAUAAAGAAGAUGAUGAUGAUGAGGAAGAUAAAGAGAGAGAAAGAUGAUACACUCAAUCAUCUUCUCACUCUCAUCAUCAUAUUUCUUUGAGUCUUUAAACUUUGUCUCUGGAUGAUGAUGAUGAGGAUGAUGAGCUUGAAGAGAUGGCAACUCAUGUGUAAAGUUAAAUGUAUUUUGGUUUGACAAUUUUUUUUUUCCUCUUCUUGACAAACUUGAAUUCAAAUGUUGUUUUUUAAAUUGUUGCAAUUGAAAUGAUGAUGAUACACAAUUGUAACUUGAAUGCUUAAUCACAAUCAUCAUAAUAAUGUAAUAAUAAUAAUGAUAAGGGUUCAUGAUUUAAAUUGCAAUUAGAUUAGAUUGUUAUAAUUUUUACUUUUUUUUCUGGUAAAACUCAGGCAAAGAAAAUAAUUUUCACCAUCAAAUUGAAUAUGUAUUUUUUUUAUUGUUGUAAUUAGAUGAUGUGUUGUUAGUGUUAUCAUUUUAUCGUGAUUUAUUCAUUAUCAACAAUUUACCAGGAAUCAAUUGUUGUUUCUGAUUCAGUAAUAAAUCAACAUGUUAAUCAACAAGCUUGUGAUUAACAUUGGUUAUGAGUUUUCAUUUGAGAUGAUGACAAAAGAUUGAGAAAAAAGUUUUUCUUUUACAUUUCAAUUCAUUGUAAGUUCUGAAAAUUAUUUCAUGUUGACUGUCAUCCUCAUCUUCAUCCUUGUUGUUGUUGUUGUUGUUCAGGAGUUCAGUCAACUAAUGAUGAUGAUGAUGAUGAUGAUGAACACGCAAAGGAUGCUCAGGGUGGGGAUGAUGAUGAGGAUAAGGUAAAAAUAAUCAACUGUUUGUUUGUUGCCAAAAAUUUUCCUUCUUAUGUGAACAAUUUUUCCCUCGAACUGAAAAAAUUCAGAACUCGAAAAGUUCAAGUUCGUUCUUAAUCAUCAUCAGAUGAUGAUGAUGAUGAUGAACCAUAUUCCACCCACGUAAACUUAUAUUAUCUUAACAAUUUAAGAUGAUUUCAAGUGUAACCCAUUCAAUUUAAUUACGUUGAGAUUAAAUUUUGUUGUUUACUCAUUAAGAUGUGAUGAUGAUCAACUUUUCUAUUCGCUAAUUGUUCACAAUUGAUUUACUAUUUAAUCCACAAUUAGAUUACAAUAUCUUUCUGUUAAUAAUAUUGUUUUAAAGUUUGUUUUGUUUUCAACUUUUCUUUCUCGAUGAUAAUUAACUGUGAUAAUCAAAUGUUUCCAUUGGUAAUUAAAGGCUCAAUUUCAUGGAUAAUUAAACUCAUUCCUAUUCAUCAUGUUGAAAUCAUCACUAAACAACAAUUGACUUGAUUGUGGACCUUAAUCACUAUGAAUGUUAAUUAUUAUCAUGGAUUCAGGAUGAGGAAAAAAAAUCUCACCAGAAUUCAGACUCAAAUUAGUUGACAAUUAA